CCAGACUCCUACGGGAGGCAGCAGUGGGGGAUAUUGCACAAUGGGGGGAACCCUGAUGCAGCGACGCCGCGUGGGUGAAGGAGCGUUUCGGCGCGUAAAGCCCUAUCGGCAGGGAAGAAGGAGGACGGUACCUGACUAAGAAGCCCCGGCUAACUACGUGCCAGCAGCCGCGGGAAUACGUAGGGGGCAAGCGUUAUCCGGAUUUACUGGGUGUAAAGGGAGCGUAGACGGCAAGGCAAGUCUGGAGUGAAAGCCCGUGGCCCAACCACGGGACUGCUUUGGAAACUGUGUUGCUGGAGUGCAGGAGGGGUAAGCGGAAUUCCUAGUGUAGCGGUGAAGUGCGUAGAUAUUAGGAGGAACACCGGUGGCGAAGGCGGCUUACUGGACUGUAACUGACGUUGAGGCUCGAAGGCGUGGGGAGCAAACAGGAUUAGAUACCCUAGUAUC
rnacentral:rRNA from 1 species